CUGCAAAGCUCAAACACUCAUCUUUGGGUAAGUGAUACAUAAUUUUCUCUUCUGUUCAUUUAUAACUCUGGAUGUCUUUGGAUUUGUCACAUCUUGAAUUUUUUUUCCCUCUGUGCUGGAUCAGACCUGAUUUUCCUCAUGAUGGUGAUGUCGGCUUUGUGAUGGAGCUAAGUCCCUUGUGGUUAACGAGCUGGUGUUACAUGUUUUUUAUGACUAUAGGUGCAAAAUGUACAACUGAUUGGUCCUUAAAGACAUAUUUUUAUUCUCUUAAUUGUGCUUUUUAAGGUAGUAGCUACCAGAGAUUUCUACUCAAUAUUGGGUGAAAUUCAAGCUGAGCACCUGUGACCUAUUUUUCCACUCAUUUUUACCUAGUUCAAAUCACAUUUAUACCAUCACUGUGUCAACUGUUUCAUAUUAGUUUAGUAAUUUUGAUUGUUUAUUGAUUUUAAUUCUGACAGGAUAUGGUUCAAUGAGACUUUAAUUCACUUAAGUUUUUUUUACCUCGAUAGGAUGUGGUCCAAACAAAGACCUAAUAUUUUAUUUUAGAUUUAAGGGUUUAUAAAAACGUACCCAUAUGGGCUGUGUGGCAUCAAAAAGAUAAUUCUCCCUAAUCAAUAGGGAAACAUUUUCAGGGGUUUGUGUAAAUGAACACUCAAGUACUCUCGCUGUACACCUUUAUCCAAACUCCAAGUAGAGUAUGCACCAACCACACCAAGGUUAAGCAGCCAUCUUAUGAAACAAGAGGGUUAACUUUAACAUAAAUCUUUGUAACCAGUUGCACUCCUGGGAAGAGGAGUCUGGUGGGUAAAAAGAGGUCAUGGUCAAAAAAUUAAAACUGCAACUGUGGGUUGUGAUCAUAGACUGUAUAUUGAAUGGACACCAUCUGCCUUGUCACCAGGUGAAGCCACCACAAGAACAGCACCCUCUGGUGACGGGCUUCAGUAUAGGUCAUUAAUCCCGCCUCCUCCAGCAAUCCCUAUGGAGCUGUGGACAAACUUUAGAAAUUAAUUACACAGAAUAUACAUUUUUUCUCCCCCCUGCUCGCGAUGUUGACAUGUAGUUGCUGUUAGACUGGUUUGUGCUCAAGUCCUCUUUUUUCUGUACAGCUCAAUUUUUAAAAGUUAUUAGGGGAUUCAUGUUUUCUAUGAUUGGCACUUGAUACAGCCUAUGGGCGUACAAAGAUUACAUAGCUCACCCGGGGAAUACGCAGUUUAAGCCGAGCGUCAUCACAGCGAUUCUCUGCGACUUUCCUGCUGAAGGCGUACAAUGCUAUUGGGCAAGCGAUGGUUCCAGGUAGUGGAGAAAACCCUGGAAUUACCACCAGCAAUUCGGCUUCAAAUUAGUAUAAUGACAUAAGGCGGAACCCAGUUGUCCAUAGUACAUAUAGUCUAUGGUUGUGAUACAUGAAAACAUCUCGAUUUGACUUGGCAAAACAACUUGAAAACAGUGACCUGCUCAGAUUUUUAUCAAAGCCACUGUCAGUAGUGAUUUGCACACACAUGUUGAGUGCAAACAAGAAUAUGGAAAGAAAAUGAGGAACUAAAAAGUGAUCAAUACAAAGAUUUAGCAGUGCUGCUGCUCUUAUGUCUUCAGUUGCAUGCUUGUGUUCAAACAAAAUGGUAUUUUUAGUUCAUGCAUAUUCAUAAUAUGAGCAAACCUGUUAAUUUUUGUAGCUUUCUUAAAGUGGUUGCCAUGCUGAUGUGCUAAUGUUUCAUGCUUAUGUUUGACAGUAAGCGUAAACACUUGAAGACCAAAGGUUGUCAUUAGUGGGUUUUUUUUUUUUCCCCGUGCACGACUAAAAUUUUCUAGAGGUCUCAGGAGCUCUGCCCCUGGAGUAUUCAAAAGUUGCAUGCUCACACUUUUCUUACAGCAUGAAGUGAAGGUGUGAAGUCUCCAGAGAUAGUACUGCAGUAGCAUGCUGCAACAAACAUGUACAUCAGUGAUUCCAAUCCAGGUUUAUUGAUAUAGCAUAUUUAAAUACAACAAAGCGCUGACCAAAGUGCUGUACAGUAAAAUUAAAAACAAAAUAAAAAGAACCAGACAAUUAACAUAAACAAUAAAACAAGACACAUGAACACAUUAAAAACAGGUGGACAUAGUGAUUCAUCCAAACAGACUGAUGUGCCUUUUUCUAAGCUGUCUUUGUCUAUGAAAAUGAUUCUUCUUUGGCAAUCGUGUUCACCCUGGUAGUUUUGCUCUUUCCGGUUCACACAAAAUAAUUUGUCAUGACCUCCACUUGUGUUUUUGGUGAAUUUCCCCUAUGUUUUCCUGCUGCGGAUAACUUCAUUUUGACUUCAUGCCAAAAUUGAACUUUAGUGGUUGGCAGGUUAUAUCAGGGUGACAAUUUUAGCAAUUUGCAUUCACUGUACAGCUCACCCAGAAAUUUCCAGGGGGGGGAUUCUGGGAGUAUUGUGCAAAUGUGAAUACAUGUGAUUCAAUUAGCUUCUGAGCUGUGGCGAAGUAAACUCAAGACUGUAACCUAAAAGGCGCACUGGAUUAUACGGCACACUGUGAAUUAAUGUGUCUAUGUUUCACGUAAGGCGCAACGGAUAGUACGGCGCAUCAAGUAUUGAUUGGUUAAUUGUUGCUAGCGUGUCCUCCGGGCCUGGGCUGCCUUACAUAAAUGCACUUCUAGUUUAGACAUUACAGUCAGGCAGCCUUGUAGACUGCUCAGGGGUCCUGUUACGGGGCCGAUCAGGUAGCGAGUGACACAACGUAACAUAAUGCUCCGAAUGUCCACUGAGCAGUUUUGUUGCUUACCAAAGUUGUACUUACACAUUUCGACAGAUUUUUGAGGAGCGCAUUGUACCACAUAAAAUUGGUCAGUGAGCACAACAAGUUAUCAUACAUAAGGCGUGCUGGAUUAAAAGGCACAUGGUCCAUUUUUUGGAAAUUGAAGGAUUUUAAGUGCGGUUAUAGUCCGAACAAUACGGUACUCAUUUAGACCUGCCUUUCUUUAAUCUGUCUGUGCCUGCUUUUGUGCCUAUUUUGCAUUUUUAUUGCAACAAAUUUUGUGAUAUUUCUUCUUGAAUGAUAAAUUUUUACAAACUUGCUGUCAUUCACAGUAUUUUAAUGUUUUAAAGGAAAAAAUGCUCUGAGCAGUGUGUGUAACCUGCUCAUUAGUGUUUGAAUGGAUUAUAUACAGUAUGGUAAAAUAGUUUACAUCAGGUAUCAUUAUAUCGGAGUGCUUAGUGACAUAUUAGUGAGUUGCUUGGCUAGCAAAUUGCACCACUAAUUUGCUCCAGCACUUAAAUGUGUCUGCUUGUGUGUAUGUGUGUAUGUGUGCAUGCACAUGUGUACUCUCACAGACACACACACGUACUCUACAGAGCUCGGUGCAGGACUGAACAGUGAUGGAUUGGGUCCCACAGGCCUCUGGUGUGUUUAUUUCCAGAGUCCAGCCGGUGGCUCAGGUCAUUCCAGGGAUCAAAGGCUACGACUGGAUCACAGCAGCUUCCCUCCCUCUGGUCCAGGGACUUACCCUUCACCCCGCCCCUCUCCAACCACCCCGCCUCUCCAGAUGAAGACGGAUUGUAAGUUUUGUGCUCAGGUUUGACAGCCUCUUCAUUUACUUCUUUCUGAUAGAAGACACCCUCCUGUACUCGCUGCCAGAGGCAAUAUAUUUGACUGUCAUUUCAAUUCUGAUUUUUUGCUCGUGUUAUCAUCAUGUCAAACUCUCCUCAGAGACGGAAGAUUAUCUAGCAGCUGUAAGGAUGGACAUGGUGAAAUCAUUACUCGAAUUAAGUGCGAUGUAGUUUGAGUGCAGUUAACAGAACAAACAAACUGAAAACAAAACAAACAAACUGGAGUUGCUUAUUCAAGCGAAAGUGGUGGUUUAUUCCUUUAAAUACGUGUCCAUUUACCUUUGAAAGACCUCAUCUUAAUUUUGAAAUAAUUCCUAUUAUCAAUCAAUCAAUCUAUGUUUACUGUGUUUGUGAUCUAAUCCUAAAUGUAAACUGAUAAACAUACUGCAAAUAUAACCUGGUUUAUUUUCAGUGAUAAAGCUAGCAGGCCAAUGGAACAUCCUUCCUAAACACAUAAAAUGUAAUAUCUUAAUAUCUUCUUUAGAUUUAAUUAUAAAACAGCAUGAGACUCAGCAGCCCCUCUCAGGAACUUUCCCAUCAGUCCCCUGCUUUUCACAGUCUGGUUCCCAUCUUACUGAGUGGAAUAUGUGAGGGGUUAGAUACUGGGGAUAAGCUCCCCUGGCUAAAACUCCAUGAAAUGGAGCAAUGGGAUUAUGGGGUCCAUGCACAAGUCCUAAGCAAUCCUCUGUGAAACAGAUUGCCCUUGUUGAGCUAUAGUUCUAAAAAGUGCUGUUUAGGGCUUUCGGAGAGGGCCUUCCAUUCUGGAUCUGAAUAUUUUAAAUACUGAGUUAAAUAGUUCUUAUCCAAUACUUGUAUUUGUUGAGAUAAUAGACUAAAUCUUUUCUUUAUGUCUACAAAAAUGAUUAGAGACUUUCACUCAAAGAUGUCUUCAGUUUAUACCAUUUAACCAAGCCUAUCUAGCCUUGUUGAAAAAUCACAUAUAAUCUAAAUUGUACUCAGAAUAAUGUGAUGAUAACCCCAGAUUCAAAACAGGUGAGACACUUUAAAAAUGCUGACGUAAACAGAUUGUGAUUGUUUGAAAAUCAUUUAAAUCUUAUAUUUAAUUGAAAUUUGUGCACAGACGACAUAUCAAAUGUUGAAACGGAAAAAAAAAAUGUGUAACUGUUUCACGAAAUUUUUUUGGCUUACUCCAAAACUGAUGCUAGCAACACACUCAAAAUAGUUCAGACAUACAGGGACAACAAAACGCUGAAAAAGCGGUGUUAAAAAAAAUAAAAAGAAAGAAAAAGACAUGGAGGAAAAUCCCAAACUAAUGAGGAUAAUUUGCAACAGGUUGGUAAAAUGCUUGAGUAUAAAAAGGGAAAUUUAGAGCGGCAGAAAUGCUCAAAAGUGAAGCUAGGAAGAGGUUCACCACUUUGAGAGACACUGUAUGAGAAUAGUUCAUUAAUCUUAGAAUAAUACUCCUCAGCGCAAAAUUGAAAAGAAUUUCAAAAUGUCCUUAUCUUUAUUAUAAUUAAUAUCAUUAGAGGAUUGACAGAAUCUGGGGAAAUCAUUGUACAACAGAGACAAGGCCAGUUACAGAUACUGGAUGACCAUAUUGUGCGGAACUGCAUUAAAGACAGACAUGACUCUGAAGUGGAACUCACUGCACAGGCUUAAAAUCACCUCCAGAAACCAGUCUGUGAACACAGUUUGUUGGUGCUUCCAUUAAUGCAGGUUAAAAGUGGACCAUUCUGAGAGGAAAGCAUGUAUAAACAUGAUCACGGCAACAUUCUCCGCUGGGUUCAUUUAAGGUGGACUGAAGAAAAGUAGAAAACUGUUCUGGGAUCGAAAAGUCCACAUUUGACAUUAUUACUGAAUGCUGUAGUCACUGUAAAAAGGAGCGGAACCACACACUCUGGUUUUAACAGACGAUCAGGAAGCCUGUAUCUUGGAUGAUAUGUUGAUACAUACUGUAAGUGCUCAUGGCAUGUGUCGUCUAAACAUCUGGAAGGGUCCAUUAAUCCUGAACAAUAUCUACAGAUUUUAAAGCAACAUAUGGUGCUCUCCAGAAAAUACUCUUUUCAGGAAACAAGCCAAAGACAAACCACAUUCUGCACAUGUGACAACUGCAUGGCUCUGUGGUAGAAACGUCCCAGUAAUAAACUGAUUCUGCUACAGUCCUGAUAUUUCACCCAUGAAAACAUGAAAUAUGAAGCAAAAACACACGAGGUCCUGAACUAUUGAGUGACUGGAAUUUUGUUAAUUUAGUAUUGCAUUAAAUCAAUUAACAAGCCAUCAAGUUCUUGUUUUUUGCGUAAUCUUUACUCUUUUUUUUACAAUUUCCACAGUAUCCCAGCUCUUUAAAUCAUCAGAUUGAAAACUGUCAAACUAUCAAAUAUAAAAAAAAAUAUCUUGGUAACUUCACUUUUACCAAACAACAAAUACAUUUCCCAUCCAAAAGCCAAUAAACUGGCUACAACUCACUCUUUCUGUGGUGAUGAAAUCUGCAUGAUGAUGGAAGCGAAUAGAGAGUGAAGACUGGUCGUGAUUCUGGUGUAAUUGAUCAGUUUUCCGCCAGUCUUCUCUUGUAUUUCCCUUUUUUAGUUUAAAUAAUAAUCGUACAAUUUUAAAAAUUAGGUGUCAUGCAUUGGGAUAAGAACAGCACAGUGAUUAAAAGAACUACAAGAAUGACUUUAUAGUAUUAGGUAACAACAGACAUAUAAAGAAAAUCUUGCUAAUGAUUUCUGUACAUUCUCCAAUAGAUAAACCUUAUAGAAGGGAGAAGCGGGCAGGCAAAUCAAGCCCACUUUGAGUAUGUGUUGGACAGGCUGGGCACUUUUGACAGAGGUCUUCUUCUAAUGUUAAACAGUCAUUUGUGUCAGCAGAUGAUCUAUAACUCGUCCUAUCAGUGCCCUCUUCACAGCGUGGCGCUGAAACAAUCUCCAAGCCAAACUGCCCUCCUCUCCCUCAGCCCUGCUAUCUUUAUAUUGAAAUAUUGUGAUUAUUCCCCUGGUUCAGGAGAGGCUUGCUAUAAUCGCCAGACAAAUGAUGUGGAAAAGCAAUAAAAAGCUGCUCCCAAGAGACUCUUCUAGCUGGCCGAGUGACACAGCCAUGAGGGAUACGAGCUGCUGAUGUGUCUAUGGAGAGUGAUCUGGGUUGUAGCAAAGCAGUGCCUCAGAGCCAUAGAUCUGCUCUGCUUAAAGGGGAUUUGACUAAACAAAUGGCAGCAUAUGGUAGAUGAGAGAGAGGAGGCGAGUGGAGAAAGGGAGAGGUGGCAUUGUUUUCAGAGAGAAAGGACGGGGGUUGCAGUGAAGGGGGGUCCCGUGUCUCUCCUCCCCUCUUCAAUCUUUCAUUAUGUUGUCACACUCUAGCUGCGUGCUUCCAGUAACACUUUAAUUAGCCUCCAUGAGUUUAAUUGUGCGUGUAUGUCUGCCAGCUUGUUUUGCUGCGUAAAUCUGUCUUGUUUGUUUUUACCCACUCUGAGAAUCAGUGCUGCUGCAGGAAACACUGCACACCUCCACAUUAACUCCUAAUUUUUUACUCCCAUUCUUUUAUUUCUAUUCAAAUGAGAUUUCUGCACAUGGCUCUUUCAGGAGGAUAUAUCCUGCAGCUUCACGGUAACAUUAUGUCUCCUAGAUGCUCGGGAGAAAUUCAGUGAUAUUUUGGAUGUUUUAAAUAAAUCCACCCCCUAAUGAUAUGUCACUUUGUGGACAAAGUUUUUUAGGCUGGUAAGAGUUACUUUAAAAGUUUAUACAUUUUUUCAUAAACUUUUACCAGUUUUAUCUGCUUGCCUUCACCCUACCUGACACCUGUUUUCCCUGUCUCCAAGACUUACCUGCAUCCAGCUCCACCACCUCCUCCUCACACCAACCUCUCCCUCUGCACUCUAGGACCCUUACCAUCUUUCCUGUAACCUUGCAUCCUCAUUAAUGGUACGUUUUUGAAAACAAGACCUGUGUAAGUCUGCUUUUAAGUUCUGCCAUAAAUCCUAACAGUGGUUUUGAUUUCAUUUGCAUGUUUUUGUGUAUUGUUCUAAAUAAAAGACUGACACAGCUGAUUAUAAACAAAAAGUCAAAAUGGUACAAAUAAAGGUGAUUUAAUGAGAUAAUGACAAACUCUGUGAAGGAGGUAAGCAAUGAGAAAAAAAAUCCUGUUUCCUUCACAGUAUUUUUUUUAUCCCAUGACAUUUCAACACCUUGGUUUGUUGCCACUGUGAUGGAAAACAACACCACUGCACUUUGAAUCACACAUUUAUUUACCAGGUGGUUUUAUUCGACAAAUCAAAAUGUUAAAUGGAUUAUGUUUUAGUUGUGGAUUCUCCUGUCUUUGAUCGCUCAAAGCACUUUUAAAUUACAUGUCACGUUCACCUUUACACAUCGUAUUCAUACACUGAUGGCAAAGGCUGGUAUAUAUAGAGUCCAUCAGUUUUUGACUAUUUCCAUUCACACACUACUGGGUGGGGCUGGGUAGGGCCAAGUGACUAACCCACAGACACUUGGACGGCCAAAGGAUCAAACCCUUGAUCUUCUGACUGGGAGAUGACUGACUCUACUAUUAAGCUAAAGCUGCCCCAAAAGUAAAAUGCACUUUGCCAAAAGCCUUGCAGUCUAGGCGCACCCCUUACCCCCCUGCCUGCACAAGGAGUCCGGGUUCAAUUUCACCCUGUGGAUCCUAUCCAUCCCUGCUCUCUUCCCCCUGUUUUCUGCUUUAUCCACUGACGCAUACCUGUCAAUAAAGGCCAAAAUUACAUCUAAAAAAAGACAUGAAUAUAUAUGUACUUUAUGUCAACUGGAAUUGAAUCAACCAAGUACUUCUUGGCAGUUUAAGCUGUAACGAAACACUCAGGUUCUGCUUGAUGUCAGUUGGAGACUGUUUCUCAAAAGCUGGGAGAAUAAACACGAUGGAUUUGUUUUACAGCGACAGCGCCUGUUUGAAAUGGAAAAAAACAAACAAAAACUUCACUGGAAUUCCUAAAAAAAAAAGAAAAACCAAGAUGGAUGCCUCGUGUUCUAACAUUUAGCCGUUGUUAGCUGUUGUUGGCUGUUUUCUGCUAUACCAGUUGAAAACAACACAUAACAGUAUUUUACUCAUACUUAGUACUGUGUCUGCAGUUAGACGUUGGGCAGUACUACAUAUACUACUUCGUUAAUUUCACAAAAACAAACAGAAGUGCUAAUAAAUAAAACAUUAAGAGAGCUUUCACUGUUACUCUUGGUUUCUGAUGCAUGGUGCCAUCUUGGAUGAUAACACUGCAAUCAAGUCAGGGUGGGUGAGGGUCAUCCGACUUUCUGAGUCAGCAAUCCCACUUCAGAGGGGCGUUACAGAUAAAUUAACCAACUAGGAACUUAAACAUUCGGACUUCCCAGAACAACUGGAAAGCAGCAUUAGUCUUGAUAGGCUGUUAACUCUGGGGACUCAGCAAUUUGACCACUAUGGGAAAAUUGAAAUUCUACACCGACACCAGAUAAAAAUCUGAUUAUCAAAAAAAUAACCAUACCAACCAAAUUAACCAAAUUACCGUAAAAGGAAGUCCUGGAUAUGUGUGGGCUUAUGCUGCGUUCAAAUUAGCUCGGAAGUCAGAUGUCCGAACUGGGAAUGAGGUCACACCCAAGUUACCAGCAUUUCAGUCACAAAGUCGGAAAAAAGCAAAAUCGUAAAGAUGGCUACAUUUCAAAGAUGUAGCCAUCUUGUUUCCGCCUCCGAUUUUGCUUUUUUAUGACCUGGAGACUGAAAUGCUGGUAACUCGGCUUUGACGUUAUUCCCAGCUCGGACAUCUGACUUCCAAGGUACUUGAACACAGCAUUAUAUAGGAUGCCUUUGUCAGGAUGAGUCAUGGUUGGUAAAAACUUUACAAAAAGUUAGGUGUAACAUUUUGAAUAAAAUGUGGUGCAGCAUGACUGGCUUUAUUUUCAGUUCAAGCUAGGUGGAGCAUUAAUUACUAAGCUAAACAUGAGUGGCAGUUCAUAUCAGCAUAUAAGUGGAGCGACAAAGUGCAAAAAAAGGAAAAAGGAGAGCAAGGAAAAGCCAGAUUACCAAAAUUAGACUCAUAUUUUGUUUGUGCUCUUGGACAUGAACCUCAGAUGAGUCAGUUCAGCGCCACAGAUACCAACUCAAUACCUUUGAAUUUGUUGUUUUGUUUUAUUAUAAGGAGCCAGGUCUGAUGUUUAUGUUGUUCUCUUGUUUGUUAGACUUUAUGUCUGUUUAACUGACUUCAAAAUGACGUAGCCAUAAGUUGCAGACAUAUGUAUAUAAGUGAUACUAUCAUGAGCCAAAUUGGGUUCAAAGGGCCUGAUCAUGUGCCCCGCCCCUGGCCCGGCACUGAUUUGUUCCGCUAGUGCAGAAAAUGUGUUCCUGGUUAAACAAAAUAAAAAAAACUGAAAACAAAAAUAAAAUACUCUUAGCUGACUUCCAGACUGUCCUCAAACAUCCUAGAAAAAAAAACAAAAAAAAAAAAAAAAAACAAUCAAAGCAGCUCCGGAAGUCUCCACUGUUUUUUUUCCCGUCUUUAUUCUUUGUGGCGAAACAAGGAGCAGGCAGUUUGCUGGCAGUAGGAGGUUUAGCAGCCUGGAGCUAACGGGAGCAUCAAACCACGGCUGUGUGUUUCCAUCUGCGUUCGUGUGUGUGUGUAUGUGCGUGCGUGUGCGUGUGUCUGGGGCUGCUGUUGUUGCUGCUGCUGCUGCGGCUGCUGCUACCACUUGCCUCCGUCUCCUCCCGUCUCUGGCCUAAUCAACAAAACAGCCUCAGCUGCCCCUUCGGAUCCCCUGCCAGGGUCCCUAUCAUCCUCUGAUCAAAUAUUAAUGUGUGAUACUGAGCUUGCUCACUAAUCCAAAGCCAAUUAAUAUUAUCUGUCAAUUAUUUACAGAUCCUGAGGUGCGGAGGCAGAUCCCCGAGGACUACAUCGGCCAGGUUCAGAAUACGAAAUUGAGCCCCCCCCUCAACACGCAC
rnacentral:lncRNA from 1 species